GAUAAACGCUAGCGGUGUGCCUUAUGCAUGCAAGUCGAACGGUUUAUCGAAAGAUAAGCAGUGGCAAACGGCUGAGUAACGCGUAAGCAACCUAUCCCUAAGUGGGGAAUAAUCCGCCGAAAGGUGGACUAAUACCGCAUGUGGUAGUGGAGGCAGGUUUUCACUACUAAAGCUUUCGGGCGCUUGGGGAGGGGCUUGCGUCCUAUCAGGUAGUUGGUGGGGUAACGGCUCACCAAGCCUAUGACGGGUAGCUGGUUUGAGAGGACGUCCAGCCAGACGGGGACUGAGACACGGCCCCGACUCCUACGGGAGGCAGCAGCAAGGAAUUGUGCGCAAUGGGCGAAAGCCUGACGCAGCAACGCCGCGUGAGGGAAGAAGGCCUUCGGGUUGUAAACCUCUUUUCUCAGGGAAGAAUAAUGACGGUACCUGAGGAAUAAGUCACGGCUAACUACGUGCCAGCCGCCGCGGUAAAAC
rnacentral:rRNA from 1 species